rnacentral:lncRNA from 1 species
UCCAGUCUUAUCUAACUUAGAUAAAGAAACUAAAUUUCUCAAAAGAGAAGGAACAUAAUAUGUUUCAACUAAAUCUAAGUGACGUUCAGUAUAGAGAAUCAGACGAUAAGUCCCGGCAGCUUCAACUGGAGCCUUUACUCUAUUCCCCAUGUAAACAAAUCUUUCAUUCUUGUUUAUGGUUUGGCUUGUAAAGAAUCCCUGCAUACUAUUAGAAACAUGAACAGUACAACCAGAGUCA